rnacentral:misc_RNA from 1 species
AAGUCGUAACAAGGUUUCCGUAGGUGAACCUGCGGAAGGAUCAUUAUCGAGUUUUUGAACGGGUUGUAGCUGGCCUUUCAGGCAUGUGCACACCUGGCUCAUCCACUCUUAACCCCUGUGCACCAUAUGUAGGAAUGAAAGACGCAAGUCUUAGUUCUUAUGUUUAUUACAAACACUUCAGUUUUAGAAUGUUUACUGUGUAUAACACAAAUGUACAACUUUCAGCAACGGAUCUCUUGGCUCUC